GAAGUGGGCGGGGUGAUCGCUCGCCGCGGCGAAUGUCUCUCGGGGCAUCGGUCACGGCGGGAGGAAAGUCCGGGCUUCGCAGGGCAGGAUGGUCGAUAACGUCGACCGGCCGUGAGGCUAGGGAAAGUGCAACAGAAAGCAAACCGCCGAACGGCCACGACGUCCGCGUCGUGGUGCGUGGUAAGGGUGAAACGGUACGGUAAGAGCGUACCAGCGGCCGAGGUGACUCGGUCGGCUUGGUAAACCCCAUCCGAAGCUAGACCAAACAGGGUGCAUGGCGAACGAUUGCCGCGAGGGAAUCGGUCGUCGCGAAGCGGCCCGCUUCGCUAUCGACACCCGGGUAGGUCGCUCGAGGCGGCGGGCAACCGUCGUCCCAGAUAAAUGGUCACCAUCGCCGCUUUCGGCGGCGGCACAGAACCCGGCUUACAAGCCCACUUCCGAU
rnacentral:RNase_P_RNA from 1 species